CAGGAGAGGAGAACAGGAGAAGAGAAGAGAGAAGAGGUAUCGAUUAGUACCCUUGUUGUCGGCGGAGGCGGAAGGAAGCGGCCAACGACGAACCCUAGCCGCCUGAGGAAGGAACGCCCACUGCCCACAUCGAUCCGCAAGGCCGGCGGCGAUGGCGGCGGUUCGAUGCUUGGCGAGGAGGCUCGGUGGCUCCCUGCUACAGCGAAGGCAGGCGGCGGUCGUGCCAACUGCCAAGCAGGCUCAUGAUCUCCAGCGAGCUCUCCAGUAAGGUCUCCGCCGAGGUAUCUUGACGAAAAUUGACAUCCUUUUUCUCAUCAUCCAUGACAUAGCCAGGCAUAAUUGAAUUCUUCUGUGCAAUCGAGACAGCAACAUGUACACAGUCAGGAGAUCAAUCUACUAGCCCAACCAGGCACUUGCGACAUCUUGAUUUCCUAGUUACGUAUUACUAGAUAACGAUCCAUCCGCCUAGACUGAUUUCAGCAUGCUCGUGCACACCCUACACGCCUGAUCCAGCAGGCGGAGGAGGAGUUGUAUGAUGUGUUGAACAAGGCUAUUGAGAAGAACCCGCUAAAAAAGGAGGCUAUUGAGAAGCAUUUUUCUGCACAAGCCACUGAGAAAAGAUCAUUUGACCCUAUGCGCUUUAAGAAGUACACAGGAAGGGCUCGGGGCGCGCUAGAUUUGGCUUGCAAGGCGACAUUUUUCGUUUAUGCUGGUGCUUAUCUUUUUGGUAUCACUGGUGCCGACAGGCUGUUGGGAUUUGCAGAGAAAGUCGGUGAAGAGAAGAGCGAAGAUUAAGAACCAAAGAUGGCCCCCAACUUGUUUUCAGUUAAAUUAUGAUGACAUGCAGUUUGGGUAGCUAGCACCAUGCUAUCGUUGUGAUUGUGUGACAUGGUAUCAUGUUAUUAUAUCUCUUAUCUGUACGAGUGAAACCGUAGGACUUGGU